UACGAAGGGUGCAAGCGUUACUCGGAAUUACUGGGCGUAAAGCGUGCGUAGGUGGUGAGUUAAGUCUGUCGUGAAAGCCCCGGGCUCAACCUGGGAAUGGCGAUGGAUACUGGCUCGCUAGAGUGCGGUAGAGGAGAGUGGAAUUCCCGGUGUAGCAGUGAAAUGCGUAGAGAUCGGGAGGAACAUCAGUUGCGAAGGCGGCUCUCGUGGACCAGCACUGACACUGGAGCACGAAAGCGAUGGGGAGCAAACAGG
rnacentral:rRNA from 1 species